AAAAAUUUUCUCUAUGUAUAAAGUGCUAAAACCAUUUUUUGUUACAUGUAAAUGAGAAAAUAUGGAUCAAAUUCUUAAAUUUGUUCAUGUUGUGAUCAUUUUUCUUACCUUAUUUCUUGUUGUAAACAACGUAAAUAGUCUAAACUGUACUUCUGUCCUUGAUUGUAUAACUAAUCAUUGUAUUUCACCAGCAAUGCCAAUUUGUGUAUUGCAUGCAUGUUUAUGCGUUUAAUAGGAAAAAGUAGGACAUCACAUGUUAAGAGCUUGAGUUACAAAUAAGUUUAUGUCUUCUAUUUUAUCCAACACAAAUAAAUUAAUGUAAUUUAAGUGCAAUGAUCAAUAUAAUAUAUAAUAUGUGAAUGUAUUAUAUACUUGUUAAGAUUUUACGUAUUUUUAUAUUAUAAAAAAAAUAAUAUGAUU